rnacentral:rRNA from 1 species
AGUGAACGCUGGCGGUAGGCCUAACACAUGCAAGUCGAACGGCAGCACAGUAAGAGCUUGCUCUUACGGGUGGCGAGUGGCGGACGGGUGAGGAAUACAUCGGAAUCUACUUUUUCGUGGGGGAUAACGUAGGGAAACUUACGCUAAUACCGCAUACGACCUACGGGUGAAAGCAGGGGAUCUUCGGACCUUGCGCGAUUGAAUGAGCCGAAGUCGGAUUAGCUAGUUGGCGGGGUAAAGGCCCACCAAGGCGACGAUCCGUAGCUGGUCUGAGAGGAUGACCAGCCACACUGGAACUGAGACACGGUCCAGACUCCUACGGGAGGCAGCAGUGGGGAAUAUUGGACAAUGGGCGCAAGCCUGAUCCAGCCAUACCGCGUGGGUGAAGAAGGCCUUCGGGUUGUAAAGCCCUUUUGUUGGGAAAGAAAAGCAGCAGGUUAAUACCCCGCUGUUCUGACGGUACCCAAAGAAUAAGCACCGGCUAACUUCGUG